rnacentral:pre_miRNA from 1 species
CCAAACCGUUACCCUGUUCCGCGUAUACCGCACUACCGCGGGGCGCGUGCUUAAAAGCUCGCUUCAAAGAUUCCCGUAGUGCGGUAUACGCGGAACAGGGUAACGGUUUG